rnacentral:misc_RNA from 1 species
GAAAUGCGAUAAGUAAUGUGAAUUGCAGAAUUCAGGGAAUCAUCGAAUCUUUGAACGCACAUUGCGCCCCCUGGUAUUCCGGGGGGCAUGCCUGUUCGAGCGUCAUUUCACCACUCAAGCCUCGCUUGGUAUUGGGCAACGCGGUCCGCCGCGUGCCUCAAAUCGACCGGCUGGGUCUUCUGUCCCCUAAGCGUUGUGGAAACUAUUCGCUAAAGGGUGUUCGGGAGGCUACGCCGUAAAACAACCCCAUUUCUAAGGUUGACCUCGGAUCAGGUAGGGAUACCCGCUGAACUUAAGC